rnacentral:misc_RNA from 1 species
AAGCUAUCACUUGCGAAGGGGGAUAAUUCCAAAUGACUUCUGCACAAUGUUAGAAGAGAAAAUGUUUUACUGGAAAGAAAGUUCGUUUUCUUCCGAAGGUGCCAUAAUCUAGCUGCAACCAGUGGAUAAAAAUGAAUGAUAAAAGACCUGAGAGGAAUGAUUUUUUUUAUUCAUUCCUGACUGGAGACUUGAUAGAAAUUCCAGAAAAAGCAAGGCUUGGUAGAUGUCGAAGUGUUACAGAUUUUGAAAAGCUGAAUCGAGUUGGAGAAGGGACAUAUGGCAUUGUUUAUCGUGCACGAGACAUAAGGUCUGAUGCAAUUGUUGCAUUGAAAAAGAUGCGGAUGGAAAGAGAACGUGAUGGAAUCCCUAUCAGUGGUCUUCGAGAAAUUAAUAUACUUCUAAAUCUACGCCAUGAAAACAUAGUUGAACUACAAGAAGUGGUUGUUGGUAAAAGUCUUGACAGUAUAUUUCUAGUGAUGGAAUAUUGUGAACAAGAUCUUGCCUCUCUGCUUGAUAAUAUGCAAGCUCCUUUUUCAGAAGCACAGGUGAAAUCUAUAAUGCUUCAAGUUUUUAAAGGACUUCAGUAUUUGCAUGAAAACUGUAUUAUCCAUCGAGACCUUAAAGUUUCUAAUCUUCUUAUGACUGAUGAAGGUUGUGUAAAAAUAGCUGAUUUUGGACUCACUCGGAAAUAUUGUAUGCCUAUGAAACCAAUGACUCCAAAAGUCGUUACCUUAUGGUACCGUGCCCCAGAAUUAUUGUUUGGCUCAAAAACUCAAACAACAGCCAUUGAUAUGUGGUCAGUUGGCUGUAUUUUUGGUGAGUUGCUUGCACACCGACCUCUAUUGCCUGGAAGAGGAGAAAUUCAUCAAAUAGAACUUAUCAUUGAGAUGUUUGGAACACCAAAUGAUGCCAUCUGGCCAGGAAUGUCCAAAUUGCCAGCUCUUGAACAUUUUACUUUAAAAAAUCAACCUUACAACAAUUUGCGUCAUACUUAUCCAUGGCUCUCUGAAGCAGGUAUACGUCUUUUGAAUUUCUUGUUCAUGUAUGACCCAAAUAAGAGGGCCACUGCUGAAGAUUGCCUUGAAAGUUCUUACUUCAAAGAACAGCCAUACCCCUUUGUCCAGAAAUCUGGAAAAUCCAGGAAUCCGGACCACCUCUGGACCCAAGGUUGCCAGAUAAGAGGUUCAGUACCUGUACAACAUUUCAGGGGAAAUGAAAAACAGUAAAUCUUUGUAAGAUAUGAAACCCAGACAUUGAGCGUGUGAUCCAGGCAUGAUGCCAUCAUUUCCACAGCACCGUCUGAAGAGAAGAGCUGCACCUAGAAAAAUUGAAGAGAAGAGGAAAGCGGAAUCUUCUUUUUCAGAUUUUAAAGUAUCUAGUUCAAAAAUUAUU